rnacentral:lncRNA from 1 species
CCCACAUUGUUCCCACCUCUCAUGACUUUGCUGUAUAAAACUUUGGCAGAGAAACGGGCUCAUUGGCAACCCACUUUCGGGUCCCCUCCUGUCUCUCAGGAGCUAUCUCUCUCAAUAAGUUUUCCUACUCUAAACAUCUGUUGUUCCUUAGGAUUCAUUCUUCAGUUUCGGGGACCAUGAAUGGUGUAUCUGACAUCUAGCAAGUUGGGAGUUACAUUUUCCCCUGUAUCACAAAGCUGUGCCUUUCACACAGGGACUCUAUACAUCACCAGACAUCGACAAGGACAGACUGGAGGACCCAGGGCAGAGAUGAGGGAGACAGAGGGCUGUGGGAUCUCAGCAGAGACUCCUAACCCUUCCUGAGGGCCAAGAAAGCCUUCCUAGAGGAGGUGACAUUUGACCUCUGUGGGAACCCUUUUGAGAGUCAACCUCCUGGCCUAUCCAGACACCAGGCAGGGUCCCUGCUCUGACCUCGUGGGUCCCUGAUGCUUGAUCUUCCUGUCACUCAAGCCUUGGAGACAAACACUGAUCCCAGAAGUAAGUUUCAAGGUUUGGUUGUUUCUCCUGACCCUGGAACCUAAGGAUCUGGCCACCAGAAGGCACUGUAGCCUGGUCUUUGUCCAGCAGAGGCUGCUCAUAAUUCAGAUCUAGAGACACCAGGCCGAUCCUGGCUCCUCACUCUUUCCCCACACCAAAGGCUCUGACGACCCUCAGGAUGUUCAGACAUGGCCUUUGGAAGUCUGCUGCCCAAUCCCUGCACUCUGGUAGGAGACUGAGGCAGAGAGAUUGCAAGUUCAACCCCAGCCUGGGCAAUUUAGGGAGACUCCAUUUCAAACUGUUAAAAGGGAUAGGGGAUUUAGCUCAGUGUGAAGGCCCUGGGCUCAAUCUCCAGUUCUGAGGGGGGAAAAAAAUCUCCCAUCCAGGGAACGUACAGACAAGGUGGGGCUGGUGGGGCCACACAGUACCUGGGCAACAACAGAAAUGACAGUAAGACGAUGGCGAAAGAAGUCCCACCGGAAAAAAAAAAAAAAAAGAAGUCCCACCAAUUUAGAUCUUCCAGUGCAUCACACCUCUGCAGAGCUCUCAUCCAAUUUUGCAUCACUGAAUCCCACAGACCAUGGUAGGGGGAAGCAGACUCAGCCCCUCACGGCUCAGAGACAGCAGCUGGGGCAGAGUGGUGAUGCCUCACAAGGGCCAGCAUCCAUUUCGGCAGCCAGAUCUGGGAUUUGAACUCUACUCUGAAGUGAACCCCUCUGCUAACGGGGUUGUUGAUUUGUGUCAGGAUCCCCACAGGCCCCAAGGGAAGUUGCCAUCCAUGCCUACCUCUACUCCCCAGUCCUGUGGAUUCAGGGUGUCGGAAGAUGGAUGUUAGAAUGUGUCCCUAACAAGCCCCCAAGUCCUUCUUUGCUCCUUUUUCUUUCUAUUUAUUUAUUUUUUAUUUUUUUUAUUUUUUGUGAUCUUAGGGAUCAAACCCAGGGCCUUUGCACUGAGCUAUACCCCAGCCGUUUAUAUUCUGAGACAGGGUCUCACUAAGUUGCUAAAUUGCCUAGGCUGAGCUCACACUUGUGUUCCUCCUGCCUCAGCCUCCUAGAGUGCUGGUGAUACAGAGGCAAAACAUGUAACUCCCAACCUACUAGAUGUCAGAUACGCUGAGUUCAUGUUCCCUGAAGUCAAAGAAUGAAUUCUAAGAAACAAUGGAGGCUAAGAGUAGGAAAAUUUAUUGGAGAAUAGGAAUGGAGAAUAGGAAUAGCUCCUGACAGGCAGGAGGAGAUGGGAAAGUGGGUUGCCAAUGAGCCCACUUCUCUGAGAAAGUUUUAUAGACCAAAGUCAUGAGGUGGGUACAGUGUGGGUUAAAUUAUAAUCAACCAAUAAGAUUACAAGUAUAGCAAUUUAGCUAAUUUUUUUCCUUUGGUAUGGGGGAUUAAACUCAGAACGUUUCGCUUGCCAGGCAAGCUUGAUGCCACUGAGCUAAAUCUCCUGCCCUCUAGCCAGUUUUUGAUGUGUUUUCAUCUGCACUGACUCCCUCGAGAGUCCAGCCCUGUCUGACUGCCUACAAGAUUUCUACCUACCUUGACUGUCUAUAGUAUCGGGAUUACAGGAGUGUGUGCCACUGUGCCCCAUGCCCCUAAGUCUCUAAGGAUCAGUUGCCAGCUAACUUGGGUCCUUGCUUCUUAGGGAUAAGGCAAAUUAACACUAAAUGGUGAUUUACAGGAAAAAGCUGUAAUUGGAAAGUAAGAGAAAAUGGUCAGAGACUUUAGCUUAAGGAGCUGACAAAGAUCAGGCCGGCCCUUACCAAAGGAGGGUAAGGAAAGGACUGCACCGGAAACGCUCACUCUGAGGGGCUCACUCAGACGAAGGGGAUCAGACUGGCCGCCAGCAAGGGCAGGAGGCCACUUUAAGGACCAGCUGGCGGGCUAGGGUCCGCUGAUCAUUUUCUCAGGCCUGGCUAUCUGGCUUUGGGAUCCUCAUGGCUGGGGGGUGGGCCUGGUCCCAUGAAAGGACGUCUCUGUUUGUGGUGGCUGCAGUCAUGGGGCUCUGGUUUUCCUGGCAUCGAGGUGGUCACAGUUUUGGGACAAUGGCUGGAGACUUCUGGGUGUAGCUGAGUGUCCCUGUAAAUCCAUUGUCUUUUCUCUGUUUCAAAGGAGGAUGACAUGGGCUUUAUGUAAAUUCAGGGCUAAUCAACCUUGUUUUGGCAACUUUUAGACAAACACUCCCUAAAUGAUGAACACAGCUAUAUGCAGAGCUAAGAAGGGAUUUGACCCAAAGUUUUAUGUAACAAAGGCUACAAAAUGAAAGUCAAGCUUUGUUCUGCUUUUAGUUACCUACUGGUCAUCUAUAGGCCCAAGUUCACAGAAAGAUGCCUUUUAAGUCCAGUACUCCUCCAGAAAAAACACAAAUCAUAUUUUUGAUGAGUAACAGGCUGAGCCAGGCAUGGUGGUGCACACCUACAAUCCCAGCCCUCUGAGAAACUGAGGCAGGAAGAUGUCAAGACUGGCCCCAGCUUUGGCAAUUUAGCAGUUUAGCAAGACCCUGUCUCAGGGUUUUAGCUACCCUGAGGAUGUAGCUCAGUGUGAAGGCCGUGAGUUCAAUCCCCAGUACUGAUAAAAACAAACAAAAAUCAGGCUACAGCAGGGUGCAGUGAUGCACAUCUGUAAUCCUAGCACUCACAAGACUGAGGCAGGAGGAUCUCCUCCAGUUCGCCUGGGCUACAUAGCAAGACCCAGGGGUCUGUUUGUCCCCAGCUCUAUACUGGUCUCUGACUACAUCAAAGGUGCCUUCCAGAAGAGAGGCCAUGUUUUGGGGUGCAGGGAGGUUUGGGGAGAGACCAGAAGCUCAGUGUGAGAUGUGAAUCAGACACCCAGGUGCUGCUGCUGGCUGAGUCCGGAGACAACUAGGAGCCGAGGCACAGAGAGGCAGACAGAUGGGGCCCCACUCUGGCUGGGGAGAUGAGGGGACAGCCCUGGACAGAGUGGGGCACCAGGGAGAGUGGCAGAGGCUCAGAGGAAAGGGAAGAAACCCUGGGUCUAUGCAGCUAGCACUGGGAGUGUAGCUGAAGGGGUAGAGUGCUUGCCUAGGAUGUAGGCCCUGGGUUCCACCCUCAGAACUGAAAAAAUAAAAAGUAAACAGAAGCUAGGCAUGGUGGCACACUCCUGUAAUCCUAGCACUUGGGAGGCUGAGGCAGGAAGGAUUACAGAGAGUUAAAGGCCAGCCUGGGGUACAUAGUGAGACCCUGACUCAAAAGACAAAACAAAAUUUACCAAUGAGGUUACUCUGCAGAAUGCUGGUCCAUGAUGCACACACCCAGGUCUGGGGUUGGCCAGGUGGCCCCAAUGUGCCUGCACUGGCUGGGCUGGGUACCGUCUCUCCUGGGGGUCAAGGCCACUGCUGUUCCCACCAGUGCUCACCAGCAUCCUGCUCUCUGGGCUUUCCAGGCCAGGGGUACAGGCUGGGUUCUCACUGUUGUCUUCUGUGCAUCUUUGGGGUCAUCGCUUAUCAUGAGUAUUUCCUGAUGUUCUGGCCCCCUCUUCCCAUCUAUGGUCUGGCCCACUUUUCCACCAGGGCUGUUGUCUUUCCGCGUUAGUGUGCAGAAGUUCCUUGUAGCUUCCAAAUUCCGGUCAUCAUUCUGGAUAUUCUUUUCCCAGUGAGUCCAUUAAACACACCUGGUUUUGGUGCUGGGCUGGGCAUGAGCUCACUGCACCCAGCCCAGAUUUAUACUCUCUGAGGUUUAUCACCUCUACUUCAUUGUUCUAGGCUAUGAAUUGAAUGUGUUUCCUUCAAAAUUCACAGUUGAGGGGCCGGGGAUUUAGCUCAGUGGUUCCGGCACCUGCCUCACAAGUAUAAGGUCCUGAGUUCGAUCCCCGGUACCAAAACAAAAAAACAAAACAAAUUCACAGCUGAGCUGAGUAUAAUGGCAAACGCCUAUAACCCUAGCACUUAGGAGGCUGAGGCAGGAUUGUGAGUUCAAAAGACUGUCUCAAAAACACCAAAAAAAAAGAUGAAAAUCUAAUCACCAGUGUGGUGACUUUAGGAAGUGAAGCCACUAGGAGGUGAUUAAAUCAUGAAGGUUGAGCUCUCCAGAGGAAGGCUGGCAUCCUUAUAGAACCUUAGGCCAGGUGUGGCCACAUACCUGUGAUUCCAGCUCUCUAGGAGGCUGAGGCAGGAAGAUUGCUAUGAGUUCAAGCACAGCCUGGGGUACAAAGCAAAAUACUCUCUCUCAAAACAAAACAAAAAACAGAGCUCCCUUAUUCCUCUGUCACAUGAAGACAUAGCAAGAAGACAGCCAUCUGCCAAGAGGAAGUUUCUGAACCAGAAAGUGACCCAGGGAACUGGACAGAGGUCAGUGGUAGAGCAAGCACUUACCUGGCAUACACAAGGCCCUGGGUUUGACCCUCAUGGGGGAGAGAGGAAGAGAAGGAGAGACCCUGGCAUAGUGGUGCACGCCUAUAAUCCCAGCACUCCGGAGGCUGAGGUAGGAGGAUCACCAGCCUGGGCUACAUAGUGAGACACUGUCUCAAAUAACCAAAAUAAUAAUAAUAAUAAUAAUAAUUUUUUGCAAUUCAAAAAAUAUUAUGUUUCAAUUGAUUACUGCAGUGUCAGCAAUACAAUAUUGAAUUUUUUUUUUUGGUAUCAGGGAUCAAACUGACAACCUUGGGCUUGGGAGGCAGGCAGCAGAACCAAUGAGCUAAAUCCCCAGCCCACAAUAUUGAAUUUUUGACAAGCUAUUCUCAUAUCAACCACAUUCACUAAAUUAGAAAUUAUAAGAUAGUUAGAUAAACCUGGGCCCACAGCAUAGAAAAACAAUUGAGGCACAUUCACUGGUUAACUUUAUAAAAAGAGAAAAGGUACUACACUUAUCUACUUCUCCUAGAGAUGAAUAGCAGUGAUUGAUAUUCUUUUAUUUAUUUAUCUAUCUAUCUAUUUAUUUAUUUAUUUUUGGUACUGGGGAUCAAACUUGGAUCCUUGCGCUUGCGCAGCAGGUGGCAAAACCACUGAGCUAAAUCCCUGGCCCAGUGAUUGAUAUUCUAAAUAGACAUCAAUCUCCCUAGCCCAUUUCCUUUCUAGGAAUUCCUUGUAUGUCACUUGUUUUCCCAUUUGAUCCCCAUUUAAUCAAUAUUACCUGGGUGACUGUAGUUGUAAUCUUAUUGGUUAAUCAUGGUUUUGUCCCACCUCAUGCCCACCUUGUCAUUGUCCAUUGGGCCUUACAGUUUUGUCCCACUUUGUACCCAUCUUUUUUUUUUUUUUUUAAAAUUUGCACCCAUCUUACUUCAUGGCUUUGCGCUAUAAAACAUCUUUGAAAAGCAGGGAACCCACUUUCUGGUCCCUCUUCUGUCUUAGACAGAAGCUGUCUUUCUCUAAAUAAAUUUUUCCUACUCUCAGCCUCUGUUGUUCCUAGAAUUUAUUCUUCGAUUUUAGAGAAGACAAAUUUGUGUAUCAGAUAUCUAGCAAGUUGGGAGUUAUAUUUCCUUGUUUGGAUUAUUUUGCUUGUUUGGAUUACUUGGUGCUCUAUAUCAAACCCUUCAUUAAAAGCCUUCCUAGGGCCAGGGAUGUAGCUCAGUGGCACGGUGCCUCCCUGGCAAGUGCAAGGUCCUGAGUUCAUCACCAGUACCAAAAUGAAUAUUUUGUUUGUUUGUUUUGGGUUAGUUUUUUUUUUUUUUUGGUGCUGGGGAUCGAACUCGGGACUUUGUGCUUGCAAGGCAGGCGCCUGAACCACUGAGCUAA